rnacentral:pre_miRNA from 1 species
UGGAACUUGCAUGAACAGGCUGUUUAUAUUCAGUCUGUUUUACCAAGGUCC